UGGGGAAUAUUGCACAAUGGGCGCAAGCCUGAUGCAGCCAUGCCGCGUGUAUGAAGAAGGCCUUCGGGUUGUAAAGUACUUUCAGCGGGGAGGAAGGGAGUAAAGUUAAUACCUUUGCUCAUUGACGUUACCCGCAGAAGAAGCACCGGCUAACUCCGUGCCAGCAGCCGCGGUAAUACGGAGGGUGCAAGCGUUAAUCGGAAUUACUGGGCGUAAAGCGCACGCAGGCGGUUUGUUAAGUCAGAUGUGAAAUCCCCGGGCUCAACCUGGGACCUGCAUCUGAUACUGGCAAGCUUGAGUCUCGUAGAGGGGGGUAGAAUUCCAGGUGUAGCGGUGAAAUGCGUAGAGAUCUGGAGGAAUACCGGUGGCGAAGGCGGCCCCCUGGACGAAGACUGACGCUCAGGUGCGAAAGCGUGGGGAGCAAACAGG
rnacentral:rRNA from 1 species